CCUACGGGAGGCAGCAGUAGGGAAUUUCGGCAAUGGGGGCAACCCUGAUCUAGCCAUGCCGCGUGAUCGAUGAAGGCCUUAGGGUUGUAAAGAUCUUUCAGAUGGGAAGAUAAUGACGGUACCAUCAGAAGAAGCCCCGGCUAACUCCGUGCCAGCAGCCGCGGUAAUACGGAGGGUGCAAGCCGUUACUCGGAAUCACUGGGCGUAAAGGAUGCGUAGGCUGGAAAUCAAGUCGAAAGUGAAAUCCAACGGCUCAACCGUUGAACUGCUUUCGAAACUGGUUACCUAGAAUAUGGGAGAGGUAGAUGGAAUUAGUGGUGUAGGGGUAAAAUCCGUAGAUAUCACUAGGAAUACCGAUUGCGAAGGCGAUCUACUGGAACAUUAUUGACGCUGAGGCAUGAAAGCGUGGGGAGCAAACAGGAUUAGAUACCCUGGUAGUCCAACGCCCUAAACGAUGCACACUAGUUGUUGCGAUGCUAGUCAUUGCAGUAAUGCACUUAACAGAUUAAGUGUGCCGCCUGGGGAGUACGGUCGCAAGAUUAAAACUCAAAGGAAUAGACGGGGACCCGCACAAGCGGUGGAGCAUGUGGUUUAAUUCGAAGAUACACGAAGAACCUUACCUGGGCUUGAUAUCCUAAGAAUCCUGUAGAGAUACGGGGAGUGCUAGUUUUACUAGAACUUAGAGACAGGUGCUGCACGGCUGUUCGUCAGCUCGUUGUCGUGAGAUGUUGGGUUAAGUUCCCGCAACGAGCCGCAACCCUCGUGAUUAGUUGCUAACAGUUCGGCUGAGCACUCUAAUCAGACUGCCUUCGUAAGGAGGAGGAAGGUGAGGACGACGUUCAAGUCCAUCAUGGCCCUUAUGCCCAGGGCUACACACGUGCUACAAUGGCUAGGACAAAGAGGCGCGAUACUGCGAAGUGGAGCAAAUCUUAAAACCUAGUCUCAGUUCGGAUUGGAGUCUGCAACUCGACUCCAUGAAGCUGGAAUCGCUAGUAAUCGUAGAUCAGAUAUGCUACGGUGAAUAC
rnacentral:rRNA from 1 species